UACAGAGGGUGCGAGCGUUGUUCGGAAUUAUUGGGCGUAAAGGGCGCUUAGGCGGUGCGGUAAGUCACCUGUGAAAUCUCCUGGCUCAACUGGGAGCUUGCAGGCGAAACUGCCGUGCUGGAGUGUGGGAGAGGUGCGUGGAAUUCCUGGUGUAGCGGUGAAAUGCGUAGAUAUCAGGAGGAACACCUGUGGCGAAAGCGGCGCACUGGACCACAACUGACGCUGAGGCGCGAAAGCUAGGGGAGCAAACAGG
rnacentral:rRNA from 1 species